CCCCACAAACAAGCGUCUGCUGGAAGAGAGUAGGUGAGUUGUGUUUAGUCUCUUUGCUAAAGAAAUGAGUCAAAGUUAAAAAGAUGUUUGGUGUCUAGUACUAUGUCUGUGACCCUAUAUGUACUAACCUCAGUAGAACAUGGUGUAGUUCCGUUCAGUAACAGAACCUCAUUGGAAAAUUAGCUGAUUUAACUUUACUGUGCUCUUGUUCAAAUAUAUUAACUCAACAGCACAUAAAUCCAUACCUGUUAACAAAAUCAUGAUUUUAUUGAUAAUUCGGCUCAAUAAAAACACCUUUACCUUUUCAUUUUACUACAGUAGAAGUUUAUUGGCCCAGCUUAUAGACUACAGAAGUGGAGAAACGCCCCUUCUUAAGUUUGUUUUCUUAGGAGUUAGAACAACUCUGAAUAUAGUACUAUGUCUGUGACCCUAUAUGUCCUGUUGAUGAAGUUAGGUGCUGUUCUGAGCAUUAUUUGUGGCUAUAGAGUGGCGUUUUGGUUGGGGGCGUGGCUCUCUGUAUUUCUAUCCUGCGGUCGUUACUAAAGUUGGUAUAACUAGAGAAGGAAGCGGUCGACAACAUUCAUCUCUGGAGG